rnacentral:rRNA from 1 species
UAGUAUAAGCAAUUGUACUGCGAAACUGCGAAUGGCUCAUUAAAUCAGUUAUCGUCUAUUUGAUAGUACCUUACUACUUGGAUAACCGUGGUAAUUCUAGAGCUAAUACAUGCUGAAAACCCCGACUUCGGAAGGGAUGUAUUUAUUAGAUUAAAAACCAAUGCCCUUCGGGGCUCCCUGGUGAUUCAUGAUAACUUCUCGAAUCGCACGGCCUUGCGCCGGCGAUGGUUCAUUCAAAUUUCUGCCCUAUCAACUUUCGACGGCUGGGUCUUGGCCAGCCAUGGUGACAACGGGUAACGGAGGGUUAGGGCUCGACCCCGGAGAAGGAGCCUGAGAAACGGCUACUACAUCCAAGGAAGGCAGCAGGCGCGCAAAUUACCCAAUCCCGACACGGGGAGGUAGUGACAAUAAAUACUGAUACAGGGCUCUUUUGGGUCUUGUAAUUGGAAUGAGUACAAUUUAAUUCCCUUAACGAGGAACAAUUGGAGGGCAAGUCUGGUGCCAGCAGCCGCGGUAAUUCCAGCUCCAAUAGCGUAUAUUAAAGUUGUUGCAGUUAAAAAGCUCGUAGUUGAACCUUGGGCCUGGCUGGCCGGUCCGCCUCACCGCGUGCACUGGUCCGGCCGGGCCUUUCCCUCUGGGGAGCCGCAUGCCCUUCACUGGGCGUGUCGGGGAACCAGGACGUUUACUUUGAAAAAAUUAGAGUGUUCAAAGCAGGCUUAUGCUCGGAUACAUUAGCAUGGAAUAAUAGAAUAGGACGUGCGGUUCUAUUUUGUUGGUUUCUAGGACCGCCGUAAUGAUUAAUAGGGACAGUCGGGGGCAUCAGUAUUCAGUUGUCAGAGGUGAAAUUCUUGGAUUUACUGAAGACUAACUACUGCGAAAGCAUUUGCCAAGGAUGUUUUCAUUAAUCAGGAACGAAAGUUAGGGGAUCGAAGACGAUCAGAUACCGUCGUAGUCUUAACCAUAAACUAUGCCGACUAGGGAUCGGACGGUGUUAUUUUUUGACCCGUUCGGCACCUUACACGAAAGUACAAGUUUCUGGGUUCUGGGGGAG